AGUUUGUUGGUGGGGUAAAGGCCUACCAAGACUACGAUGGUUAGCUGGUCUGAGAGGAUGAUCAGCCACACUGGAACUGGUACACGGUCCAGACUCCUACGGGAGGCAGCAGUGGGGAAUUUUGCGCAAUGGGGGCAACCCUGACGCAGCAACGCCGCGUGAGUGAAGAAGGCCUUUGGGUCGUAAAGCUCUGUCGACAGGGAAGAAAUUAUUAUCAUCCAAUAGGUGGUAGUAUUGACGGUACCUGUAGAGGAAGCACCGGCUAACUCCGUGCCAGCAGCCGCGGUAAUACGGGGGGUGCAAGCGUUAUUCGGAAUUAUUGGGCGUAAAGGGCGCGUAGGCGGUCUUGUCGGUCAGAUGUGAAAGCCCGGGGCUCAACCCUGGAAGUGCAUUUGAAACAGCAAGACUUGAGUACGGGAGAGGAAAGCGGAAUUCCUGGUGUAGAGGUGAAAUUCGUAGAUAUCAGGAGGAACACCGAUGGCGAAGGCAGCUUUCUGGACCGAUACUGACGCUGAGGCGCGAAGGCGUGGGUAGCGAACAGGAUUAGAUACCCUGGUAGUCCACGCAGUAAACGAUGUUCACUAGGUGUAGCGGGUAUUAAAAUCUGCUGUGCCCAAGCUAACGCAUUAAGUGAACCGCCUGGGGAGUACGGUCGCAAGACUAAAACUCAAAGGAAUUGACGGGCCCGCACAAGCGGUGGAGCAUGUGGUUUAAUUCGACAACGCGAAGAACCUUACCUGGGUUUGACAUCCUGUGAAUCUUCAAGAGAUUGAGGAGUGCCUUCGGGAACACAGUGACAGGUGCUGCAUGGCUGUCGUCAGCUCGUGUCGUGAGAUGUUUGGUUAAGUCCAGCAACGAGCGCAACCCUUAUCUUUAGUUGCCAGCGCGUAAUGGCGGGAACUCUAGAGAGACUGCCCGGGUUAACCGGGAGGAAGGCGGGGAUGACGUCAAGUCCUCAUGGCCCUUAUAUCCAGGGCUACACACGUGCUACAAUGGUAAGUACAGAGGGCAGCAAGCCGGCGACGGUGAGCGAAUCCCUAAAGCUUAUCUCAGUCCGGAUUGGAGUCUGCAACUCGACUCCAUGAAGUUGGAAUCGCUAGUAAUCGCGGAUCAGCAUGCCGCGGUGAAUAUGUUCCCGGGCCUUGUACACACCGCCCGUCACACCAUGAGAGUUGAUUAUACCCGACGUCGUUGGGCUAACUAUUCGUAGAAGCAGACGCCUAAGGUGUGGUUGAUAAUUGGGGUGAAGUCGUAACAAGGUAGCCGUUGAGGAAUCAGCGGCUG
rnacentral:rRNA from 1 species